UACGGAGGGUGCAAGCGUUUAAUCGGAAUUACUGGGCGUAAAGCGUGCGCAGGCGGUUUGUUAAGUCCGCUGUGAAAUCCCCGAGCUCAACUUGGGAAUUGCAGUGGAUACUGGCAAGCUGGAGUAUGGUAGAGGAAGGUGGAAUUCCCGGUGUAGCAGUGAAAUGCGUAGAGAUCGGGAGGAACACCAGUGCGAAGGCGGCCUUCUGGACCAAUACUGACGCUCAUGCACGAAAAGCGUGGGGAGCAAACAGG
rnacentral:rRNA from 1 species